rnacentral:tRNA from 1 species
AAUUGAUUAAUAUAUGAAGUAUAUUUAAUUUCGGAUUAAAAUGAUCAAUUUUUGACUCAAUUU